UACAGGGGGUGCAAACGUUGCUCGGAAUCAUUGGGCGUAAAGCGCACGUAGGCGGUCUGUUAUGUCGGAUGUGAAAGCCCUUGGCUCAACUGAGGAAGUGCAUCCGAAACUGGCAGGCUAGAGUACUAAAGAGGAUCGCGGAAUUCCCGGUGUAGAGGUGAAAUUCGUAGAUAUCGGGAGGAACACCGGUGGCGAAGGCGGCGAUCUGGGUAGAUACUGACGCUGAGGCGCGAAAGCCAGGGGAGCAAACGGG
rnacentral:rRNA from 1 species